rnacentral:rRNA from 1 species
AACGAACGCUGGCGGCAGGCCUAACACAUGCAAGUCGAGCGCGCCCUUCGGGGUGAGCGGCGGACGGGUGAGUAACGCGUGGGAACGUGCCCUUCUCUGCGGAAUAGCCUCGGGAAACUGAGAGUAAUACCGCAUACGCCCUUUGGGGGAAAGAUUUAUCGGAGAAGGAUCGGCCCGCGUUGGAUUAGGUAGUUGGUGGGGUAAUGGCCCACCAAGCCGACGAUCCAUAGCUGGGUUGAGAGGAUGAUCAGCCACACUGGGACUGAGACACGGCCCAGACUCCUACGGGAGGCAGCAGUGGGGAAUCUUAGACAAUGGUGGCAACCCUGAUCUAGCCAUGCCGCGUGAGUGAUGAAGGCCUUAGGGUUGUAAAGCUCUUUCAGAUGGGAAGAUAAUGACGGUACCAGCAGAAGAAGCCCCGGCUAACUACGUG